GACAGAGGCCUCAAGCGUUAGGCGGAAUCACUGGGCUUAAAGCGUGUGUAGGCGGAUCGUUAAGUGUCUUGUGAAAUCCCCACGGCUCACCCGUGGAACUGCUGGGCAUACUGGCGAUCUUGGGCCAACUAGGGGCAACUGGAACAAGCGGUGGAGCGGUGAAAUGCGUAGAUAUCGCUUGGAACGCCAAAGGUGAAAACAGGUUGCUGGGGUUGUGCCGACGCGUGA
rnacentral:rRNA from 1 species